AGAGUUUGAUCCUGGCUCAGGAUGAACGCUAGCUACAGGCUUAACACAUGCAAGUCGAGGGGAAACGACAUCGAAAGCUUGCUUUUGAUGGGCGUCGACCGGCGCACGGGUGAGUAACGCGUAUCCAACCUGCCCACCACUUGGGGAUAACCUUGCGAAAGUAAGACUAAUACCCAAUGAUAUCCCACGAAGGCAUCCGAAUGGGAUUAAAGAUUUAUCGGUGAUGGAUGGGGAUGCGUCUGAUUAGCUUGUUGGCAGGGUAACGGCCCACCAAGGCGACGAUCAGUAGGGGUUCUGAGAGGAAGGUCCCCCACAUUGGAACUGAGACACGGUCCAAACUCCUACGGGAGGCAGCAGUGAGGAAUAUUGGUCAAUGGGCGAGAGCCUGAACCAGCCAAGUAGCGUGCAGGAUGACGACCCUAUGGGUUGUAAACUGCUUUUAUAAGGGAAUAAAGUGAGUCUCGUGAGACUUUUUGCAUGUACCUUAUGAAUAAGGACCGGCUAAUUCCGUGCCAGCAGCCGCGGUAAUACGGAAGGUCCGGGCGUUAUCCGGAUUUAUUGGGUUUAAAGGGAGCGUAGGCCGGAGAUUAAGCGUGUUGUGAAAUGUAGAGGCUCAACCUCUGCACUGCAGCGCGAACUGGUCUUCUUGAGUACGCACAACGUGGGCGGAAUUCGUGGUGUAGCGGUGAAAUGCUUAGAUAUCACGAAGAACUCCGAUUGCGAAGGCAGCUCACGGGAGCGCAACUGACGCUGAAGCUCGAAAGUGCGGGUAUCGAACAGGAUUAGAUACCCUGGUAGUCCGCACGGUAAACGAUGGAUGCCCGCUGUUGGCCUGAAUAGGUCAGCGGCCAAGCGAAAGCAUUAAGCAUCCCACCUGGGGAGUACGCCGGCAACGGUGAAACUCAAAGGAAUUGACGGGGGCCCGCACAAGCGGAGGAACAUGUGGUUUAAUUCGAAGCAACGCGAAGAACCUUACCAAGUCUUGACAUCGAUCUGACCGGAAAGUAACGUUUCCUUUCCCUUCGGGGACAGAGAAGACAGGUGGUGCAUGGUUGUCGUCAGCUCGUGUCGUGAGAUGUUGGGUUAAGUCCCGCAACGAGCGCAACCCUUAUCCUUAGUAGCCAGCAAGCGAGGUUGGGCACUCUAGGGAGACUGCCAGGGAUAACCUGGAGGAAGGUGGGGAUGACGUCAAAUCAUCAUGCCCCUUAUGAUUUGGGCUACACACGUGUUACAAUGGCAUGUACAGAAAGCGGGCCGUAUGCAAAUACGGCCAAAUCCCUAAAACAUGUCUCAGUUCGGACUGGGGUCUGCAACCCGACCCCACGAAGCUGGAUUCGCUAGUAAUCGCGCAUCAGCCAUGGCGCGGUGAAUACGUUCCCGGGCCUUGCACACACCGCCCGUCA
rnacentral:rRNA from 1 species